UCAACACAAAUGAGAAGAAGAAGAGAUUCUGCGGCGUGAUUGUUUCAACUUUACCUAAUACGCAUCUAUCAGUAUACGCACAUAUGGUGACUGACGCAGUGUUUUACAAACAAGAAAUUAUUCGGAAAAACAGUCGAAACAAGAAAUCAGUUCGUCGCCAUGAUUCUUAGUUCGCUUAUGUUAAAAGCGUUUCUUCUUGGUGUUCUGGGCUCUCUGGAUAGUGGAGGGGAAACUCGUGCGUGUUCAGGUUAGCAUGCUCAGUUAGCGUCUCAAACCAUUGACUACUAGAGAAGACGAUACAGAGAGUUUAUUUUUACAGUUUUUGGAGUCUAUUUUAUUCACAAAAACGUAAAAAAUACACAAGGGCUAUGCCAGUUUAUCGCUGUUGUGUUGGAGGUUGCGACAACGAUUCGAGAUACAAAGAGAAAAUUGUAAAGAGAAGCCACGUUGAGGGCGCACUCCGUUUGCAUCAUUUCCCUAAACAAUCAGAGAAGAGAAAGCAAUGGACUAAGAACGUUUCAAAAGGCCUGUCUGACGUUGUUGCCAGCGACCACAAGACUGUUUGCUCCAACCAUUUCGAGUACGGAAAGCCAACAUUCGCUUCUCCGAAUCCAACGCUAUUCCUUGUGCCUAGCGGCAAGAACAAGUCAUCGCCAAGAAAGCGAAAGCUACCAACUAGGACGUCAAAAGGCCCAUCGACUAAAGAAACUAAAGAACUCAAGUACAAGGAGACAGGGUCCCAAUGCACCAUUGGGACCCUGUUAGGCUUAUUCAAGCCUAACAUUUGCUCAUUUGACACGUGAACACGAUGUUAAUAAUUUUACUGGUUUAACAGUUAAGAGUUUUCGAUUAAUCUUCGACCAUGUCAAAGGAAAAGCUUCAGUGAUGCACUACUGGAAAGGCCCCAAAAGAACAGGGGACACAUCCAAACUUAAAAUUGAUAGACAAGUGAGAGCCCUCACUUUAGAGCAAGAAUUUCCGCUUACCAUGAUGAAGCUCAGACUUGGUCUGUUCCUCUUUGACCUAGUAUUUAGAUUUGAUAUUUCAGCAUCAGUAACAAGCUCAAUAUUCACCACAUGGGUCAAGUUCCGGGCAAAAGAACUGAAGUGGCUGAUAGUAUUGCCAGACAGAAUAGUUACACACAGGAAUCUUCCUGAUAUGUUUAAGAAGUACUACCCUAAGUGUAGAGUUAUACUGGAUUGCACUGAAAUCUACAUCGAAACACCAUCUGAUUUGGCAGUAGCUGCCCAGUGCUGGUCUGCUUAUAAACAUCAUCACACCAUUAAAUUUCUUGUUGGCAUUACUCCCAAUGGUGCAAUAUCAUUCCUAUCUGAUUUUUAUGGUGGAAGAGCUAGUGACCUAUUUAUUGUUGAAGACUGGUUUUGUUAACUACCUACAGCCUCAUGAUCAAGUUAUGGUAGACUGCAGUUUCAAAAUCAAGGAUUUACUUGCAUUUUACCAAUGUUCACUGGCUAUACCUUCCUCAAAACAUGGUAACCUUCAAAUGUCAGGGACUGAUGUCAGGGAAACCUCACUUAUAGUCAAUGUCCGAAUCUAUGUUGAGCAAGCAAUACGAAGAAUUAAAUGCUUUGAGAUCUUAAAGAAAGAAUUACCAAUCACCCUGCUACCACUUGCAGAUGAUAUUGUAGUUCUUUGCUCAGCACUGUGUAAUUUGUCACCACCUCUCAGUGUAUAGUUACUAAGUUACUUUCAAAACUAUUCUAUUCGUUAUAGUACAAACAAUGUAAAUAUAGAACUUCAAUAAUUCGAAAUAGCAAUAGCAAUAUCAUGCACAUUGCUUUAUUUUCAGCUUUAUAGAAUGCUUACAGUGUUUCAUGGUUUAUACUACUAAAAUGAAAAAUAGGGUAAUAACAAUAAUACUGUCAACAUAAACAAACAUCACUGUGAUGAAAAGAUUGAAAACAAGAUGAAAUAAAUUGAACCCAGAUAACAUAUAUAUUUUAUUAUGAAGUAAUUUCUUAUUAACAACAGUGUGUAUUAUAUUCUAUAUAGCUUAUGUUUUAUAUUGAUAGCCAAAACUUUUACAGCAGAGUAUUAUUCCAACUUGGAUUUGACUGUGAGUUGUUGUGGACACAGAAAUAACAAUGAAAGAAGUAUUGUAUAACUCUAGAACUGUCCAUGCAUGUAUUGAGUUUUAUAAAUAGUGUAUAGAAAACAAUAGAAACAAUUUUUAUUUUUGCAGUAUAUCUGUAUGAGUCACUUCCUGGUAAUGUUCAGUUUCAAACACUUUAUAUUAUAUUGUUCUAAGCUAUUUUUAAGUCCUAAAACCAUACGAUUAUAUGCAAAGCCAAAAAAAAUACUUUAGGUGCAUUAACACAAAAUAUCAUAAAAUGACCUUACAUACUGUCACUACCUUAUAGAUUUACAAAUCUUGGGCAAUUUCAUUGCAACUGACACAAAUAAAAGUGCUGUCUUCAUUAA
rnacentral:lncRNA from 1 species